AUUCAUCCUGUGGGGAGGGACCUGAGGAGUGUGACUGCAGAUGCGGAAUAGAUGUGCUAGCUCCUUCAGAGAAUCAGAGACUCUUGUAAGAAUUCCCACCUGCAACCAGUACUUGCAUCCGGAGGCAGAGGUAGAGCGAGAUGAGGCUGCCAUGAUAGCUGGAGAGACUUGCUGCCUCCUCAGGCUCCCGGCUCCACCUACCUUCUACAUGCUGAUGACUCACUCCAAAGUGUACAUCUUCUGUCCAUAAUUUCUGGGGAUCCAGUGGCGGCAACCUGCUUCUAGAGGGACCAGGAGCUUCGGGACCCCUCUGCCUUGGACCAACAGGAAAAGCAGGAAAGUCAGGGGCCAGAGAAACAUGUGAAAUGACACCAAGGAGAUGGAUGCAACUAACCAAAUCCAGAAUAUGGGCAAGAAGACCAGGCAAGGAUCCGGUUUCCUCAAUAAACCAACUGAAAAGAAAACAAAAAGGGCAGUGAUAUAGAUUAAAAGAAAUUUAAGAGACGUAUCAAACAAAUUCUUUGCUA
rnacentral:lncRNA from 1 species